GUUUACUUCUUCAGAUUUUGAACCCCUUAUUAAAAAUCCUAGCUCCAUCAUUGCUUGUGUCACGUUUAAAUAGGUACGAACAUAUGAUGUCAUCCUUCUAUUUGCUUGAGCAUAAAUUCUUUCUUCUAUUAUGUUUUUUUUUUUGUUUUGUUUCAUAUAUAUUUGAAUUUGAUGAUGUAUAAUUAUAUCAAGUUGCUUCUUUUUUUAUACACAGUUGUGGCUUGAUAUUUGGUGACUGCAACAUGAACUUCUUCAUCGAACAAUGUUUGAUUAUAAAGAUUUAUAUGUUAAGCUAUACAUCAGAGCAACGAAAUCUUAGUAGGUUAGUUGGUGGCCCUGAACUUUUAUCUUAUUUUGAUUCCCCAUUAUAAUUAACCACCUCCUUUAUUUUCCGUUUCCUUAUCGCCAAUUAAUAAAAAAUGAUAAGUCAUAUAUACUCCCUCCAUUCUACUUUGGUUACCUUAUUUACAAUUUCUUCUGUGUCAAUCAGUAUGAUAUAUUUUGCAUUUCGAAACUCAAACGAUUAUAUUUUCAUAUGGCUUAUGAAUAUGAAGUGCUGGUGAUUGUAAUUUAUAAAUUUUUUUACAUAAUUUUCAAAUAUGUAGAUUUUAUUUUAAGACAUUUUAAUAUUACGUACUAUCAAAAUUAAGAAUUUUUCUUCUUUAAUGUUUUUUCUGAAAAUAUUUUUCAAAUGUAUAUAUUAAUUUUAUUUCCAAUAAUUUGAAGAAUCUAUGUCCAAAAAUUAAAUGUAAUUUGACCCUCGUACUGGGAACCACACCAAACAAUGUGGAAUGGUAGGAGUAACUAAUAAAGAACAUACCAUGUGAUUUAAGUUUUUUUGUUGGUUAUCCUUCCAGUGCUCAGAUUAAUGUGGAUUCACGUCGAAAAAUUUCAAUUUUUUUUGAUACUUUUGCAUGUUGAGGUUGAUCAGAUGUGUGACCACAAAGUUUAUUGUUAUGAUGCAGGUAGAUUGUUGAAAGAAUUAGCUAUCACGGAGUACAUGCAGAAGCAAAAUAUUAGAACAAAAGUAUAUAAAGUUUUUGGAAGAGCUCGCAACUCAUUUGCUAUCCUUACCAUUUCAUCGCAACAAUAAAAGAGUUGCGAUGUUUAAUUACUCUCUUCAUCUCAAUUUAUGUGACAUCAUUUGACCGGAUACGAAGUUUAAAAAUAAGGGAAGACUUGGUUAUGCUACCCAAUUGUCCUUACUAAAGUUGCCUUAAUGCUUACUUUUAGUUGAGUUUUCUUCUCAAUAAAGUCUGAAUGACAGCAAAAUAGUAAUCAAAAGUGCAUACAUGUCUGUGAAUCCUACAAUAUAUAUUUCACCAC
rnacentral:lncRNA from 1 species